rnacentral:rRNA from 1 species
AAACUUUCAACAACGGAUCUCUUGGUUCUGGCAUCGAUGAAGAACGCAGCAAAAUGCGAUACGUAAUGUGAAUUGCAAAAUUCAGUGAAUCAUCAAAUCUUUGAACGCACACUGCGCCCGCCAGCAUUCUGGCGGGCAUGCCUGUCCGAGCGUCAUUU